CAGGACCCUGAGAUCAUUAUCUGAGCCGAAGGCAGAGGCUCAACCCACUGGGCCACCCCAACGCCCCAGUAAAAAUCUAUUUAGAUAGCAAAUAUUCUCCUUAUUUUUAUUGAGGUAUAAUUGACAUACAAUAUUAUAGUAGUUUCAGGCUUACUACAUGGUAGGAUAUUUGUAUGUAUCAUGAAAUGAUCACCACAGUAAGUCUAGUUGAAUAUCCAGCACUGUAUAGCGUUAUAGGUUUUUUUCCUUGUAAUUGGUAUUUUCAAGAUUUGCUCUCUUGGCAGCUUUCAAAUAGACAAUACAGUAUUACUAGCUAUGGUCACCUUGCUGUACAUCACAUAACUUAUUUAUUUCAUAACUGAAAGUUUGUACCUUUUGAUCACCUUCAUCCAUUUUGCUCACCUCCCUACCCUCAUUGCUGGCAACCAUGCAUGUAUUCUAUUUAAAAAAUAUAGAUUUCUUUGAAACAGAAAGGGGUCAUUUCUUGGGUUAACUUAUAAGAUUUUGGCCUAAUAGGUAAACAUAUGUGUCAUUGCUUCUGAGUUUUUCUUUGCUGGGGAUUCAGUCCUCCCCUUUGCUCAUUGGCAGAAUCCUACUUAUGCUUUAGGGCCCAGUUCCCCAGCUCAGAUGCCACUUGCUCCCAGACCUAUCGUCUUUCCUGCAUGAGAAGUGAUUGUCCCUCCAUCUAGAUUCUCAUUUAGUCUUUCCCACUGUUUCAUGACAAUUUGUUUUUCUGAUUUUGAUUUCCCAAAAGACUGUGAAGAUAAAUAUUGUGGUUAUCUUCAACAUUAUAUCUUGGACUCAGUAUUGACAGUGACAAAAAUCGAGCACUCAAACAUUGAAUUAUUAUUAUUAUUUUUGAUUGGGUCUUUAAAAUUUAGAAAUCAGAUUAAGUUCAAAUGAAUCCUACUCAAUUAUUUUUAGAUUAGUCCUCACCAGGUCUAGCAUUUUAUGAUUCCAGAAGGAAUAAGUAAUUUUUACUAUCUUUAACAAUAAUGAUGAUGAUAAUAACAAUAAUAAAAAUACAGUAGUCAAUAUAUCAAGGCAAUUUAUUAUAUCCCAUAUACAUCCCAUCUACAUGGGAUGGUGAUUAAUACAUAUGCCCAUUUUAUUUUGGUAUCUGCCCUGUGGUGUCAGUGUCAUUAUCAUAUUGACGGCUGUAGAAGAGAUUAUGUAACUUAAUCAAGGUCACAUAACUAGUAAUUGGCAAGAUUUAAACCUAGAUCUGAUUUCUGAGUUUAUCUGUCAAUCUGAGUUGGAACUAAAAGGUGAACAAACCAGGCACCCUUCUGUGGUAUUUAUUUAUAAGUCCUAGUAACACAUGAAUCAUUGGAAUAAAAAUAAAUACCACCAGUUAAAAUAUGUUUCCAUAUGUUAAUUCUUACCUUUCUGGGGGGAAAAAAAAAGCCACAGUUGUGCCCCAGAGGAAACCUUAGCUUUCAUUGGAUUCUUUUUGUCUUCUGACUCCUCUAUGCUUAACUAUUACUCCUUUACACUUACUGGUCUCGAUGAUUUUAAAGUCUUGUCCUCAAAGCUAGGCCUUGGUCAAAUCUUUCUCCGUUCCCUAAGCUAGAAGCAGCAUCUGUUCUGAAACCAUACAGGGUUUUUGUUUUUAUAGCUCUUGACUUCUCUCUAGUGUCUUCGUUCUAACAAGGUGAUAAAAUGGCAUUCAGUUUGAGCUGAGGUCCUAUGUGCCCAUUACUCUCAUGGUCCAAAGUUGCACCUAAGCAGGACUUGCUAAGGGUGGGUUGUGGAUCACAGGUUUGGGAAUCCCAGCUCAGCACCCGCCUUCAGCCUGUAGAUGAGGCUGGCUGGGUGGUAGGAGAAUUGGAAAUUAGAGGGAGAUGAUGUGGCUAGUGUGUUGUGAGCCCCAUCUCAGCAGCUGGGUGGCAAGGAGAGCCUGAUAAGUGUGUCCUGGAGCUUGGGGGGAGUAGAGGGGACCAUGCAUCAGUCAUGCCAGAGAAAUCUAAAGGGGAAGAAGCUGUAUGAUGCAGCCAGUGGCAGACAAUAGAUGGGAAGUAACUCUUUCCCCCGCUGACGGUGCAUUCAAGCUGGUCAGAGAUGGGGCAGGGCACCCACCUGUGGGUGGAGCAGGCAGCUUUGAGUGUGUGCACAGCAAACCAGAGCAGAUUCUUGCUGGGCAUUAGAACUUGCUCUCCCUUUACCUUCCCAGUGGGGUUAGAAGCAACUGCUCAUCAGCCAGUAGGUGGCUGGGGAAAUCUGCUGGCCACGAUGCUCUACUUUUACAUGAAGUCCAGAGUUUGGUUUUUACACGAACUGGGUAUUUAAUGACAGAACUGAGACUGCUCUAGGGACUUUUUAUUAUGCAACACGUGGUACCCAACUGGGGGGGUCCACCUUAGAUUUAAUCCAGGGCCCAAGGAAGAUUUAGCCUGGCAGAAAGGAUUUAUAGGAGUGCUUGAGAAGAGGAAAAAAGUUGCUUUAUGGUUUUGCAUAUUGCUUUUUCAGUGCCCUGGUUCUUAUGUUUUCUCUCCCUCUUCUUUUGAGCUCCUCGUGUGUGGGAGCUUGGCAAGUUGAGAGAACUGAUUCCUUAGUCAUCUCUGGGAAUUAUACAGAGCCAAACAUCCAUUUGUUUGACAUCUAGAUAUUGAAUAAAUAGUUCCUUAUGAGAUUAAGCAAAAUGUGAUUUUUUUAAGCAAAGAAAAAGAA